rnacentral:lncRNA from 1 species
GUUAACCUUGCUAGGAAGGAAGAAACUUGAGGUGAGUUACGACUUGUUAUAACUUAAGUUCUUUCCUUAUGAAGUCAUUCCCAUAAAGUGUUGAUUAAAUGUAUCUAAAUGUUAGUGUGAGUUUAAUUGGAACAAGUGAGCUCACAUUGCUUAUCAUUGAAUAAGUUUAUCCACUGCUCUCUGUCUUCCUUUGUUUGCUUAUCUGUCUAGUGAAUAUUAAGGUUGUGUAUGCCUAUUUGUGCAUGAGUAGUUUGUGCUAACCUUGCCCAGCCCUAAAACAGUGCCUAAUUCCCCUAAAAACGCGACUGAGAAGGGAAAAUCUCACCCAUCCCAGUAUCAUGCAACGAGUGUGAGCCUCCACAAUUGUGUACUUCUCUUUCAUAGUGCUGAAAGCCAUAAUGUACCCUCUUAUGUUAUGACUAUGAUAAAGUUAAAAUGUUGAAAUUUUAAUGCAAACUUAAAUAACUGGUAACCGUAUAAAGGGUUACUAAUUUUGUCAUAACGAGGCAUAGCAUGAAUAGCAACCCUACAAAGGGUUACAAGUAACUAUUCAAAGGGUCACUAACAAUGAGACACAACAUGACCUGAUACAUAGUUGUUGACUAGGUUUCAAUAUUAGGGCUGUGAGAGAUGUCUAGAGAGAGAAACUCCUACUUCUCCCUAGAAGCUAGGAAGCAAAAGUUACCUUCGUACAAAGGUGUGUUGAAAUGGCCUGCACUUUCCCUAAAGGGAGAUUGCAGAAGGGUGGAUGAGGAUUUUGAACCCAUUUUCAGAAUUUCCAGAGAGCAUGUGGAGGCAUUAUGGCAAGGAAGGAUUUUUUUCAAUAGUUUUAGUGUACAAUUUCUUUAUAGUAUUCAAUGAUUUCCCCGUCAACUCGGUGUGGCUCUUGAGUGACUUCCGCUUGUACCAUGAGUUAGUCUAUGUUGUUAUAUAUUCUAUGUGCAUUGGUCAUCUUGUGAAAAAAAUUUGUGUUCUUGUCCCCUUCCUUUAGCCAUAAGGCUCUUAUUUUCUGUCUCCACAGGCUUUCUUCCCUCUUGAACAAAUUAUCAUACUUUAACAUGAUCUCUACCUUUUUUGUUAUCUCUUCUAUCUUCCCUAUUUGCAUCUAUUACUGCCAUCUGUUUAAGUAGUUUUUUCCUCUGGUUGCUCAGAUUCCUAGUAUCGCCUUUCCUCCGUUCCUUUAGCAUAAUUUUCACAGCUUUGAGUUUGGAUGCUAAGACAUGGGCAAGUCUUCCGAUGAAAGUGAAAGAAUCCCACCAACCAUUAACUGUGUCAAUAAAACCUUUUUUUUUUCAGCCACCAAUUUUCAAACUUGAAAUAGUUCUUGUUUCUCCCAAGAUCCACCCAACAAAGAUAAUGGAAUGUGGUAUGAACUCAAUCUUUGGAGGGGUAUUUGUUUUAAAUAUUAUUGAAAUUAGCAUCCAAUUCUUCUGAAAUUUGGAUCCUAUAAAUCCUGGAGGCAGCUUCCUAUUGAUCCCCUUUGAACCAGGUGUCGCCCAUGUAAGUAGCAUCCUUCGAUUGCAGAUCAAUUAACUUCUUGUCUUCAAUGUGAUUUGAGAAUUCCUUCAUGCCCUUUGUUCUCCCGUUACAGUUCUUCUCAGAAGUGACCCUCGCCACAUUGAAAUCCCCACAUAGAGCCCAUGGUCCCUCAAUCAGACUGCUCACUGAUCCUAUUUCUUCCCAAACCAACCUAUUUUCCUUGUAGCAAUUAGGAGCAUAUACUCUUGUUAAAUAUUAUUAUGAGAAACUCCUAUCCAGGGAGGAAUCAACUUUUCCACAAAGUUCGGUAUGGAUCCCCAGGGUACCUCAAAAAGUUUGUUUCUUCACUUGGUUAGCUAUGAGGGUGGUAAUCUUGAUGGCAGAUGAUUUGAGGAAGAAGAAGAUCACUUCUGUCAGUUGGUGUUUCAUGUGUAAAGAAUCUGGAGAAGACAUAAACCACCUUUUAUUACAUUAUUGGUUAACAUCUUCUUUGUGGAGAGAAAUUCUAAGAUGGUUUAGAGUUGAGUGAUAAUGUCGGGCACUGUGAAAGACUCGGUGGUUAGUCAGGCCUUUAGAAGACAGGAGAGAAGAAACAGAGAAGGGGAUGCUGCUUGGCACUCAUAUAGACAGUAUAGAGAGAGGAAUAGGAGAUCUUUUGAGAGCGUAGAGAAAAAAUUUGCUUAUUUGACAGACAGUCUCUUUGCUCUUAUUUCUUUUUGGUGCACCCAAGAGGUUCCAAUAGGUAGAGAGGAUUGGAUGGUUUUUGCAGAAAACCAUGUUCCUUUGUAACGUUCUCUACCUUUUGGUGAGCACUUUUUACACCCUAUCAAUGUGAAAAUUAUUACUUGAUAGAAAAAAAUAAAGGGUCACAAACAGCUGUACAAAUGGUUGCUAAUAUUGUCAUAACAAGGCACAUAAGAUUGGUGGUCAUAUAAAGGGACACCAGUAAUCAUAUAAAGGGUUACUAGUUGUCACAGUUGGGCACAAGAAAAGUUUAGUCGACUGAAACAACUUUAAAGAAAGUGAAAAGAAUGAAUAAAUGAACUAAGAUAUAAGUUUUAUGUUUUCCUGCUUCACUGUUGUACGAUACUUUAGGAUGAGUUACGAAUUGUUUCCUCUCUUAUCCCUUCAUUACCCACAUGUUUCUAUUCAUGGUCUUGUUUUGACUUUGGUGAGGAGAAUGUUGAGACUCAUUGAGUAACGCUAGUAGCGUAUUGACGUUCUCUUUGUGGAACCUGCAUUGACCUAUGUCAAUUAGGUCAAUGUAGACACAAGCUUCAUAGACAAGCAGACUACGAGCUAGGUUGCUUUAUUCCAGAAGUUGAUUUGGUGAGUUCUGACCUUGACCAUGGAGUUUCUCCUCUUUCAGUUAGAAAUUUUUUUGUUCUUUCUUUCCUUUUUUUUGAGCCAAUUUUUAUUUCAUUUAUUCAUUAAUCCAGCAUUUGUUCUGGGGAUUGGCAUUGGCCAGGAAAUCUAUGUCGUGUGCAUUCCCCUUGGUACUCCAAUAAGGCUUCAUAGACGUGUUUUUAGUUGGGUUAUGAUUGUUCACAUUACAUGGCAUCAUUUUCAAUAAUUUCUAGUUGUUUACAGAUUUGGAUAUAUUUUUGGAUUAUUUAAAAAUUGUUGGAAUAGAGUAUUGAUCCAAAAGUUUAGUUAUUUAUUUUAAAUGCACGUGGGGUAUGUGAUAUUAAUUAAUAAAGUACAGGUUAGAACUGUCAAGCUGAUUUGCUCGGCAAGUAAGGCACCAGGUGCCAGUUACGGCUUGUUUAGAAAAUGGGUCAUGACAGGACUUCCUUGAGUUGAGAUCAUCCAUGAGGUUGAAGUUAUCAAACUACCAAGUUCAGGGGUGAUAAUUAGGACCAAAAAUUGUUCAAGGUGGACAGAAUAAAUAGUGCCAAGUUCAGGGGGGUGGGGGUUCCCACUUCCCAAUGUAUUCUGCCAAAACAAAUUGCACAGCUUAGGAACAUAGAUGUACUAUUUCAAUCUAUCUCAGGUGAAGAUGAUUUGUCCUAUCAAAAGGCAUUCAAGAUUGACAAGAUGUGAAGAUGACAUCUAAGAACACUGAUCUGCAACUCGCAUCAUCUCAUGGGAGAAACUAUAAGAUUCUGGAUUUGUUUUAGUUUAUCCAGAAUGAUUGGCUCCAACUUUGACCUUGUAAUAGUGUGCUUUAUGAUACUCAGUCCUAUUAACUUUCUUUUAAAAUAUGGUGCCU